rnacentral:rRNA from 1 species
CCUACGGGAGGCAGCAGUGGGGGAUAUUGCACAAUGGGGGAAACCCUGAUGCAGCGACGCCGCGUGAGUGAAGAAGUAUUUCGGUAUGUAAAGCUCUAUCAGCAGGGAAGAAAAUGACAGUACCUGACCAAGAAGCCCCGGCUAACUACGUGCCAGCAGCCGCGGUAAUACGUAGGGGGCGAGCGUUGUCCGGAAUGACUGGGCGGAAAGGGAGUGUAGGCGGCAUAUUAAGUUAUGUGUGAAAGCCCGCGGCUCAACCGCGGAAUUGCACAUAAAACUGGUAAGCUGGAGUGCAGGAGAGGUAAGUGGAAUUCCCGGUGUAGCGGUGGAAUGCGUAGAUAUCGGGAGGAACACCAGAGGCGAAGGCGACUUACUGGACUGUAACUGACGCUGAGGCUCGAAAGCGUGGGGAGCAAACAGGAUUAGAUACCCGAGUAGUC